AUUGAACGCUGGCGGCAUGCCUUACACAUGCAAGUCGAACGGUAACAGGUCUUCGGAUGCUGACGAGUGGCGAACGGGUGAGUAAUACAUCGGAACGUGCCCGAUCGUGGGGGAUAACGAGGCGAAAGCUUUGCUAAUACCGCAUACGAUCUACGGAUGAAAGCGGGGGAUCUUCGGACCUCGCGCGGACGGAGCGGCCGAUGGCAGAUUAGGUAGUUGGUGGGAUAAAAGCUUACCAAGCCGACGAUCUGUAGCUGGUCUGAGAGGAUGAUCAGCCACACUGGGACUGAGACACGGCCCAGACUCCUACGGGAGGCAGCAGUGGGGAAUUUUGGACAAAGGGCGAAAGCCUGAUCCGGCCAUGCCGCGUGCAGGAUGAAGGCCUUCGGGUUGUAAACUGCUUUUGUACGGAACGAAAAGCCUCUUUCUAAUAAAGAGGGGUCAUGACGGUACCGUAAGAAUAAGCACCGGCUAACUACGUG
rnacentral:rRNA from 1 species